GACGAACGCUGGCGGCGUGCUUAACACAUGCAAGUCGAACGGGCCCGCCCCUGUUUUUGGGGGUGGGUUGAGUGGCGAACGGGUGAGUAUCACGUGAGUAACCUGCCCCCUGCUCCUGGAUAACUGCUUGAAAGGGCGGCUAAUACGGGGUGUGCCGGCUGGUCCGCAUGGGCCUGGUCGGGAUAGUUUCAUCUUCGGGUGUUUCGGUGGGGGAUGGGCUCGCGGCCUAUCAGCUUGUUGGUGGGGUGAUGGCCCACCAAGGCGGUGACGGGUAGCCGGCCCUGGAGGGUGGGGCGGCACACGGGGGACGGGGCACCGGCCCAGCUCCCGGGGGAGGGAGGAGGGGGGGGGUAUUGCACAAUGGGCGGAAGCCUGAUGCAGCGACGUCGCGUGAGGGAUGGAGGCCUUCGGGUUGUGAACCUCUUUCUCCGGUGGUGAAGGCCCUGUCCGUUGCGGCGGGGUUGACGGUAGCCGGGGAUGAAGCGCCGGCUAACUACGUG
rnacentral:rRNA from 1 species